rnacentral:rRNA from 1 species
AUUGAACGCUGGCGGCAUGCCUAACACAUGCAAGUCGAGCGGAUGAAGGGAGCUUGCUCCUGGCUUCAGUUGCGGACGGGUGAGUAAUUCCUACGAAUCUGCCUGGUAUUUGGGGAUAACGUCCGGAAACGGGCGCUAAUACCGCAUACGUCCUGAUUGAGAAAGUGGGGGAUCUUCGGACCUCACGCUAUCAGAUGAGCCUAGGUCGGAUUAGCUAGUUGGUGGGGUAAAGGCCUACCAAGGCGACGAUCCGUAACUGGUCUGAGAGGAUGAUCAGUCACACUGGAACUGAGACACGGUCCAGACUCCUACGGGAGGCAGCAGUGGGGAAUAUUGGACAAUGGGCGAAAGCCUGAUCCAGCCAUGCCGCGUGUGUGAAGAAGGUCUUCGGAUUGUAAAGCACUUUAAGUUGGGAGGAAGGGAAGUAAGAUAAUACCUUGCUGUUUUGACGUUACCAACAGAAUAAGCACCGGCUAACUUCGUG